GACAGUACAGAUAGUGGUGGCGUUACUCUUCAAAUGCAAACAAAAAAUACCUUAAGAAAGUAGAGAGAGAAAGAGGAGAGAAAAAAGGGCUUCGAGUAUAUAUCAUCAUCAUAGUUAUCUCUAUCCAGUAGUGACUUCAUUUUCAUCUCACUCAGAUUCAUUGUUGUAGCUUCUAUCAAUUAAUCUGCUCUCUUUUUCUGUGAGGUUCUUUAAAAGGGUGGAUUUUGGGUUUCUUUCUUCUCCGAUUACUAUACAAUUUAGCAGGUAAAACCCCUUUUUUUCCUCUUUCCUUUUUCCCUCUCUGUAUUGAC
rnacentral:lncRNA from 1 species